rnacentral:rRNA from 1 species
GACGAACGCUGGCGGCGUGCUUAACACAUGCAAGUCGUACGGACCGUGGAGGGCUUGCUCUUUACGGUUAGUGGCGAACGGGUGCGUAACACGUGAGCAACUUGCCCUUCGGUGGGGGAUAGCCGGCCUAACGGCCGGGUAAUACCGCAUAUCGCCUCGGGAUCGCAUGGUCCUGAGGUGAAAGCCGCAAGGCGCCGGGGGAGAGGCUCGCGGCCUAUCAGCUUGUUGGUGAGGUCAAGGCUCACCAAGGCGACGACGGGUAGCUGGUCUGAGAGGAUGGCCAGCCACAUUGGGACUGAGAUACGGCCCAGACUCCUACGGGAGGCAGCAGUGGGGAAUAUUGCGCAAUGGCCGAAAGGCUGACGCAGCGACGCCGCGUGUGGGAUGACGGCCUUCGGGUUGUAAACCACUGUUGGGGGGACGAAGGCCCCGCAAGGGGAUUGACGGUACCUCCUGAGGAAGCACCGGCUAACUCCGUG